rnacentral:rRNA from 1 species
GUGGGGAAUUUUGGACAAUGGGGGAAACCCUGAUCCAGCCAUGCCGCGUGCGGGAUGAAGGCCUUCGGGUUGUAAACCGCUUUUGUCAGAGACGAAAAGGGACGUACGAAUAAUACGUUCCGCUGACGGUAUCUGAAGAAUAAGCACCGGCUAACUACGUGCCAGCAGCCGCGGUAAUACGUAGGGUGCAAGCGUUAAUCGGAAUUACUGGGCGUAAAGGGUGCGCAGGCGGCUGUGCAAGACAGAUGUGAAAUCCCCGGGCUUAACCUGGGAACUGCAUUUGUGACUGCACGGCUAGAGUUUGUCAGAGGAGGGUGGAAUUCCGCGUGUAGCAGUGAAAUGCGUAGAUAUGCGGAAGAACACCAAUGGCGAAGGCAGCCCUCUGGGACAUGACUGACGCUCAUGCACGAAAGCGUGGGGAGCAAACAGGAUUAGAAACCCCGGUAGUCC